UCAGCUGACAUUUUCUGGAAGCUAUGCUGAUGAUGCUUGUAAGAUUGAGGGAAGUGCUCUAAGGAGUGAGAAUAUUAUGCAGUAAUUAAUAAAAGAAGUUGAAAGGAUUGAAGCCUCCAAGCAUGGGGAUGCAUUGAAGUCUCCGAGCAUGGAGAUGCAACAUCUACAGCUGUACCCAAGGAUUUCCAGUGCUGGAUGAAUUAUUUUACAGAGGUCGCACUUGUCUCAAACAUACAUGGAUCUAGCCUGUACUGCGGCGUGCCUACUGGCACAGCAGUUGCAGCUCCCUGAGUCAACAUGUGUGGGAAGAGACUUGGGAACCUUCUCCAGGACAGGCCGGUGAGCU